rnacentral:lncRNA from 1 species
GACCUGGUAUCAACAAAUAGGAUUCAUAUCAUAUUCUUCAAGCAUUUCGACUCCGGUUUCCAUGACUGUAGGAAUAGAAGCUACUCCGAUCCGGAUACUCAAAACUCUGUCAAUGAUAUUCAUUUCAACUCCGAUUCGGAUACUCAAAGGGCUUGGGAGUCUCUACCAGAUAAUUUCUUUCGCAAACUGUCUUUGCAAAACAACACCCCUCGGCGAAGUCAAAAAAUUUGUUUAGGAGCCUAGAUAAAAUUUUAAUUUUCUAUAGUUUAUAUCUUUAUAAUUUGUAAAUGAUUAAAUUAAAUUUUUAUAAUUUUAGAAAGCC